GUUAGAUGGCCGCCAUUUCGGGACUUUACACGUGUUCGCGGCCAUCUUACGCACGAACGGCGGUGUUUGCCUGUGAACGCAUGAAAGGUAAAUCUGCUAAUCUGGUGACUCGGUCCCUCUGGUCACUAUUCUCCAACCCUCGAUUGUCAGCUGAAUAUUCAGGGAAGAUUUUUAUGGAAGCGUAUUAACCAGACACACACUCUUUGCUUUCCAUAAUCUUCUGACAAUGUAUUCAAAAUGCUCUGUACUUAUACAAUAUUUGUCACGAAUAUUGGUUACAAAAGGUUACAAAAAGGUUACACAAGAUACAUAAAAGAGGAAGUAGUUUCUGCUGUUACAUUCAAUAAUCUAAUCUUACAAAAUAUCACAUAUACAUUGUGGUUAGGCAUUUCCUGAUAACUUUCAGUUAUGUUUUGCAAGCAGUUCUGAAAAGAGCUUGCUACUACAUAUACAAAAUAAUUCAAUUUAUACAAUACUGACAGAUUAAUUGUUUAACCCCUUAAGGACCAAAUUUCUGGAAUAAAAGGGAAUCAUGACAUGUCAUGUGUCCUUAAGGGGUCAAUAUUCCUUCAUUUUCCCCUCUUUGAGCAAUAUCUUGCUCAUACCCUAUUUAAGGAGUCCUGGUCAGACAACCAGCCAUCUGCCAUGGUAUAUUCAGGAUUGCUAGCCAAUCCUGCAGGUCUUUCAUUAUGUCUUCGGCCACUAUUCCCAUAGCAUAGGACUAGGCAUCUGACCAGUACCACAAACUUAUAGAUCUGUAUCAGCAUGUUCACCAUUGCUUCGGUUAUGUGUAUACAUUUGGAGAUACUCAUCAUAGCAAGCUGGGGAUUUUACAGGAACAGUGUUGCGUGUAUGUUUGUAAAUGCAGAAUACAAUAAUCUUGAAAAUAGCAUAAACAAGCAGAGCAAGGAUCAGAACCAUAACAAUAAGUAUUGCAAUAUUCUUUAACCAGUCUAGGAUACUGUCAGACUUAAACAUAUCUGCCCAUGGGUGAUCAAUACCUGAAUUCCUCUUCAUUUCUAUGGACAGGUCUUCCAAUUUCUUUAUAGCUAGGGUUACUUUACCAUUAGGGCCAGUGUUCUCUGCAAUAUAGGUACAACAAACACCGGAGUCAAGUAAUUUACAGACUCCUCCCUUUUCUGCUAAAAUCAUAUCAAGGGCCAUUCUAUUCUGGAAAGUCGUUUGUGAGGUAGCCUGUAAUUGUUCAGCAAGACCUUGUAAUGCAUCUCGUGUAUAAUUUACAAAUCUUUGCUGAUUAUAAUAUAUAUAAUUAAUCCAGUUAACAUUCUUGUUAGCUGUUAUAAUGGGAAAUAUUGAUUCAAAUCCUGCUGCCACCUCGUCUCUAGCUUUAAAUUCAUUAGGAACCCCUCUUGGAAUACCAAUGGCAUCUAGAUAGAUAUGUGGGUCGAAACUACCUUGUCGGGAUUUCCUUUUCCUUCUUGUGGAAUCAGUUACAACCUUAAUUUCAGGGAGAGAGUCGCCAAAUAUAUGGAGGGGCAUGAUUAUUUUGGCUGGGGCACAUUCUCCUCUCCAGGGGGUGGGGAGUCUAGAACGUAUUUUCAUAUCUCCACAUAUUCAAUAAACAUCUCCCACAGAUUGUGUUUGAUUCACUAAGGUAAUAUUACUGUAGGCGGAGCAGAAUCCUGAAGAAAAGUUAUCAAAUGGUUUACCCACCUUACAAUUAUUAUUUCCCUGAAAACAAGUAUAAUUACCAGGGUAUACUGAGACAACAUCAUUUAAUUUAAACUUGGGUUCACCAAUAGGGUGACCCUUUUUCCAUUCUUCACAUCCUGUAGUAUUAACAGUGGUACCUGAAAACAAACUUAGGAA
rnacentral:lncRNA from 1 species